GGCAACUUCCCAAGGACACACAGCCGGAGGAGCCCCCUGCCUAUUGCUCCAAAGUGCUCACACACUGGGGCAGGGCCAGGUCGCUGGGGUCCCGCACACCGGUCAAGUCCUGCAGUGCGACAGCUCCUCUCUAACCUAGGAACAAGUGUCCAUGCAGCCCCAGGGCCAUCCUAUCCCGUGGCUCAUGGGGCCCCGCCUCCCCGAACAUGUCCUGUCCCCACAGCACCGGCCUAGGACUGUUCACCAGCGAGUGGGCAGAGUGUCUUUGCCCCAGUCUGGUCCACGCCAUGGAGAGGCCUGGAAAAACCCAACAGGCUGCUGUUCCCUGCCCCCAUCCCUGAGGGGGUUAGAAAAGGAAAGAAUGUUCAAAGUAAACAAGUCACCAGAGGGCCAUGCCAGGACCUUGCAACAAACACAAGGUGCUCAGUAAGUGCUGAGUCCUGGGAUGAAGAAUUCUGAAGCGGGACCACUACCAGGGCCUGCCCCCUGCCCACAGCCCUCCCAGGCCGGGCAGGGCAAGUUCUGGAGGGCCGGUGGCGGCAUACACUGAAGGCUGUGUGACGUUUCUAUUUCUCAAGGCAGUAACAGCAACCGUGAACCUCAGAGGCAGCCAAGGGUGAGUAUUUAUGUCUUGCUCUUGCACCUGUGGGUUGGUUGGCAUUUGGCUGAUCUUGGUGGACUUGGUCCCAACUGUGGCCUUGCUCUGUGUGUCUCUCAUUCUCCUGGGCCCACCUGGUUCUCAGGAAAUGUUCCUCCCAUAUGGAAAGUCAGAAGCUGCCAGAGAGGCAAGUGGAGCAUGCAAGACAACUGAUGGCAUAGUCUCAGAACUGACCAUGAAUACUGCUCUCCACUUUCCAUUGACCAAAGCAAGUCCAACGUUGUGGGAAAGGGUCCCUCACCCACAGUGGGAGGUGAGGGGUGUGGACACUUGCCACUUGCUGAUUGAUGACCAAAAUAUCCCAGGUAUAUACCCUUUCACACUUUUCCUAUGCUUUUUUAAAUAAAGACACUCUUUACCAAUCAGAA